rnacentral:rRNA from 1 species
UACGGGAGGCAGCAGUAGGGAAUCUUCCGCAAUGGACGAAAGUCUGACGGAGCAACGCCGCGUGAACGAUGAAGGCUUUCGGGUCGUAAAGCUCUGUUGUUAGGGAAGAACAAGUACCGGAGUAACUGCCGGUACCUUGACGGUACCUAACCAGAAAGCCACGGCUAACUACGUGCCAGCAGCCGCGGUAAUACGUAGGUGGCAAGCGUUGUCCGGAAUUAUUGGGCGUAAAGCGCGCGCAGGCGGUCCUUUAAGUCUGAUGUGAAAGCCCACGGCUCAACCGUGGAGGGUCAUUGGAAACUGGGGACUUGAGUGCAGAAGAGGAGAGUGGAAUUCCACGUGUAGCGGUGAAAUGCGUAGAGAUGUGGAGGAACACCAGUGGCGAAAGGCGACGUCUCUGGUCUGUAACUGACGCUGAGGCGCGAAAGCGUGGGGAGCGAACAGGGAUUAGAUA